rnacentral:rRNA from 1 species
AACGAACGCUGGCGGCAGGCUUAACACAUGCAAGUCGAACGCUCUCUUCGGAGAGAGUGGCAGACGGGUGAGUAACACGUGGGAACCAACCCUUCGGUACGGAAUAGCUCAGGGAAACUUGGGGUAAUACCGUAUACGCCCUUAGGGGGAAAGAUUUAUCGCCGAAGGACGGGCCCGCGUCUGAUUAGCUUGUUGGUGAGGUAAUGGCUCACCAAGGCGACGAUCAGUAGCUGGUCUGAGAGGAUGAUCAGCCACACUGGGACUGAGACACGGCCCAGACUCCUACGGGAGGCAGCAGUGGGGAAUAUUGGACAAUGGGGGAAACCCUGAUCCAGCCAUGCCGCGUGAGUGACGAAGGCCUUAGGGUUGUAAAGCUCUUUUGGCGGGGACGAUAAUGACGGUACCCGCAGAAUAAGCUCCGGCUAACUUCG